rnacentral:rRNA from 1 species
GAAGAACGUAGCGAAAUGCGAUACUUGGUGUGAAUUGCAGAAUCCCGUGAACCAUCGAGUCUUUGAACGCAAGUUGCGCCCGAAGCCUUUAGGUCGAGGGCACGCCUGCCUGGGCGUCACGCAUCGCGUCUCCCCCCACCCACCUUCAGUGGGAGGGGCGGAGGAUGAUGGCCUCCCAUGCCUCACCGGGUGUGGAUGGCCUAAAUACGGAGCCCCCGGUUAUGAAGUGCCGCGGCAUAGGUGAGAUACAAGGCCUAGCCUAGGAUACAUCGGAGUCGUGCACUUUUUAGCUUUUGAGGACUCGCAGGACCCUAAGUUUGUUUGCCCAUUGGGGCAUCAAAACCGUUGCGACCCCAGGUCAGGCGGGGCUACCCGCUGAGGG